AAAAGUUCGACACAAACAAAGUAUUAGAGAAAUUCUAAGCCACUUUGAAAAUGAUUCAUCUUGUAGAACUUUUAUAUUUCACAUAUUUCAUACUCAUGACAGAUGCAGACGAUAUUAUACAGGUACCAAGAGUUCUUCUAAGGGUAAAAGGAGAAGAAGCCAAUCUCAGCUGUGAACAGAAACGAGAUGAUGAAACAAUGUCUUGGUACAGGCAGAAAUUUGGUAAAGGUCUGGAUCUAAUUUACUUUUCAGCUAUUGAACACAGUCAGGACAGAGAAACUGGCGUCUCUGAGAGGUUAAUAGCAGACAGACCAACAAGAAAGAAAUUCCACCUAAGCAUCAGAGAUUUACAGCCUGAAGAUGCAGCGAUAUAUUUUUGUGCAAGUCGCAGAGGCACAGUGCUUAAUCCCUGCCAGAUAGUUGUUCAAAAACAUACAGAUGGCUAGUAUUGUUUUACUGGCCUAUAGGAGGCAAUGUUACAUUACCAAAGGGCUUUGAAACAAUGCAAUUGCAGAAUUAAAUAAAUACAAAUGUCAUAAAAUACGUUU